rnacentral:rRNA from 1 species
GACGAACGCUGGCGGCGUGCUUAACACAUGCAAGUCGAACGGAAAGGCCUCUUUCGGGGGGUACUCGAGUGGCGAACGGGUGAGUAACACGUGAGUAACCUGCCCUUGACUUUGGGAUAACUUCAGGAAACUGGGGCUAAUACCGGAUAGGAGCUCCUGCUGCAUGGUGGGGGUUGGAAAGUUUCGGCGGUUGGGGAUGGACUCGCGGCUUAUCAGCUUGUUGGUGGGGUAGUGGCUUACCAAGGCUUUGACGGGUAGCCGGCCUGAGAGGGUGACCGGCCACAUUGGGACUGAGAUACGGCCCAGACUCCUACGGGAGGCAGCAGUGGGGAAUAUUGCACAAUGGGUGGAAGCCUGAUGCAGCAACGCCGUGUGCGGGAUGACGGCCUUCGGGUUGUAAACCGCUUUCGCUCAUGACGAAGCUUUGUGUGACGAUAGUGGGUAAAGAAGCACCGGCUAACUACGUG